UUAGUGGCACACCAAUGAGUGUUUCCGAACGCAACCUCAGUGUUGCCGCGUGUUGCCAUUAUAUCAUAUUGUCGAAUUUAGAAGUGUCAAUAAAGUGUCAAUAUGCCAAGUUGUUUCGUAAAAAAUUGUAGAAGUCGCACAAAUUAUGUGCUUAAUAAGAAUGUGAAGUACUUUUCACUCUCUACAGAUCAAGAGUUGCGAUUGAAAUGGUUGGAGGCUUGUCGCAGAGAUGACAAUUUUAAGGUUACGCAUGAACGGAUAUGUGAGCUACAUUUUUCUUCCAAUUGUAUGAAAUAUCGAAUGACUAAACCUCGUUCUGUACACAUUUCAUCGAAAAUUAUAUGCACACUGUGAAAAGGAUCGGUACUAAUAAAGUUAUUCGACUUGCCAAAUAAAAAGCAAAAGCUGUUGCAUUCAUUUGAGACAACUUGUGAUGAUAAUGCAGGAUCUUCACAAAAAUAUGUUUGAAAUGAACCAAAGACCGAUAAAAGUAAUUCAAGAAGAUGCUGAAGUAUUAAUGACAAACAUUGAGUUAUCACAAAAAUCUUCAUCGCAAUUAAAAAAAAUAAAAACGCCAGAAGAAAUUGAACAACUGUUAAUUGAUUUAGCGAAAAAAAAAAACGAAAAUGAACAGCUUAUGUGCAAAAAUCUUCAACUACAAGCCGAAUUAAAAGAAAAAUACGGGAUCAUUGAGAGCAUGCAGAGACGUGGAAAAAAUGGGAGAAAAUUUUGCAGCCAAGAUCAACACUAUUCGUACAGUUAGAAGAUGGCAAAUUUGAAAUGGAAGCAAACAUUUAAAAAAAUGAGCAAGACAAAUUGGUGAUAAAAAAUGUAUUAUUUCUUGGCGAUACAAAAAAGUGUUAGGAAUUUAAAGCCAACAUUGCUGAGCAAGACAUCGCGUCACAAGCGCUUAUUUAGCAGAAUACGUUGCACACCACAUUUCUUACAUAAAUAUCUGCACUUAGAUUGUAAAACAUCGAUGAUGGCCUCUAGUGACAGUUGUCAUUCAUCUCGCGUGGAAAUUGUAUUCAUCCUUCCUCUGAAUUUUUAUCAGCUGUACAAGUGAUGAAUGUAGAAUUUCAAAAAUAUCAUGGGCAAUUUUUUAAUCUAGAGGAUAAAAUUUUUGAUAAAUUGACUUCAAUUGUAUGUACUAAAAUAAAAAAUGAAUUUCCUAGAAAAGUUAUUGCGUGUUUAGUGCGAACACGAACCUACAUUAGAAUUAGAAAACUAAAUCGAGAAUAAUAAUAAGCAAUAGCAAAAAAAAAUUAAAAAAAUGA